UCCUGUUCUGUAGCCCUGCCAUCAAUGCAGACAUUUCUUGUACCUGUGUUUGGAUUACCAAGGAAGCUCCCAAUGUAUUAUACCUUUUUGGAAGACAAAGAUUGUAUCCCCUCCCUCAAACAAUAAGGUGAUUCAUCCAGGACACCUAUAAGCUAGUGGUCUGUUGUUAAAGCUGGGUGCACAGAAAAACCAGUGCUCUCACCAACUUCCACUAGAUCUAGCACCAAUUUGGUGUUAAGAUUCUUUGUAAGAAUCACUACAGCAAGCAGAACUCAAUCUGAUCCUGUGAAGCAGUGUUUCUUAACCUUUGCUCUUCCAGAUGAUUUGGACAUCAGUUCCCUUAAUGUCUUCCCUUUGGUCAUGCUGGCUGGAGCUUUGAGGAGUUGAAGUCUGAAACAUCUGGAUUGAGAAUCACUGGUUUAAGACAUGUACUGUCAGUGUUCAUAGGAUUCAUGAAUGGCAAAGUUAUUUAGCUUUGGCAUAUGCAUGUCUGCUUUUGUAUACAAAAUGCAUUGGACUAAUAAUAAUAAAUAAU